UACAGAGGGUGCGAGCGUUAAUCGGAAUUACUGGGCGUAAAGGCGCGUAGGCGGCCUGUUAAGUCGGACGUGAAAUCCCUCGGCUCAACUGAGGAACUGCCUUUGAAACUGCCUGGCUUGAGGCCGGGAGGGGGUAGCGGAAUUCCCAGUGUAGCGGUGAAAUGCGCAGAUAUCAGGAAGAACACCCGUGGCGAAAGCGGCUCCUCUGGAACGGUACUGACGCUGAGGUGCGAAAGCGUGGGGAGCAAACAGG
rnacentral:rRNA from 1 species